AUUGAACGCUGGCGGCAUGCCUUACACAUGCAAGUCGAACGGCAGCACGGGUGCUUGCACCUGGUGGCGAGUGGCGAACGGGUGAGUAAUACAUCGGAACGUACCUUAUCGUGGGGGAUAACGCAGCGAAAGCUGUGCUAAUAUCGCAUACGCCCUGAGGGGGAAAGCGGGGGAUCGAAAGACCUCGCGCGAUUAGAGCGGCCGAUGCCUGAUUAGCUUGUUGGUGGGGUAAAAGCCCACCAAGGCGACGAUCAGUAGCUGGUCUGAGAGGAAGAUGAGCCAAACUGGGACUGAGACACGGCGCAGACUCCUACGGGAGGCAGCAGUGGGGAAUUUUGGACAAUGGGGGUAACCCUGAACCAGCAAUGCCGCGUGAGUGAAGAAGGCCUUCGGGUUGAAAAGCUCUUUUGUCAGGGAAGAAACACCGGCUCUAACACAGUCCGGGAAUGACGGUACCUGAAGAAUAAGCACCGGCUAACUACGUGCCAGCAGCCGCCGUAA
rnacentral:rRNA from 1 species